rnacentral:lncRNA from 1 species
CGGGAUGCUGAACUUCUGUCUCAUAUCUAAUGUGUCCUCGUUUACCUUGUGCUUCCCUCCGGAGUCUGAGCUGUCCUCUCUCUCCUGUAGCGCAUCUGCCUGGGCAUUCUGAACUACCUGAGGUCCAUAGAGAGAACACUGACCUUUGACAUGGCUGGGAUGCGCGUGGAGGGAGACGGAGAAAGUUCAGGAGGUGAGGCCGGUGGGGAAGAAGCCAGAGGAAGUGGUCUUGUCAGCAGCGCGGAGGAGUCAAGCUGGAUGAGUGCGGCCAGGGGGGCCAGUGGGACAGUAGGAGGUCUAGGCUCUCACCUCUACAGCCAGAACACUCCUGUUGAUUACAAGGUUCAUUGCUCGGAGUUCAUGCAGUUCCCUGAGGUAGAGAAUCUUCAUGAUUUCUACACCACGGAGGAGAGAUAUGUCCACACCCAGGACCAGAGGGGUCUCUACGUGAUUUACAAUGUGGCCCUGAAUGACCUGCAGGAGCUGGAGGAAGCACUGACUCUACUGGGCUCACACUUCAUCCAGAGGAGCAGCAGAGGGGCUGAGGGGAAUGCCAAGGCUCAGUCUACUGCCCCAGACCUCCAGUUCUCUUGGGCUCUGACAAACGUGGAUAGAGUUGCAGUCCUCCUGGACCUGUGGACCUGUGAAGCGUCAUUUUUGGAGAGCAAAGUGCAGCUGUUGAACUGCUACUUUGAGGCCUACCAGCAUGUGACUGGACCAGAAGAGAGGUUCUCAAUGGCUCAGGUCAUCACAGACAUUAUGCACAGAAGGCCUCGACUAGAUCUGGAUGCUGAAGCUGAGUGCUUCGUUCAGACCUACCGGGCAGAGAUGGUCUGUUUGCAGACACACGAGCAGCUCAUCAGAGAUGUGCUGAACAGCCAGAUCGAACACCAGAGGCAGUACCUCCAACGCGUGUGGAGGGGAGACCAGGGACUACAAGGAGCCUCUCCUCAGGACUAUGGCCUCCCUCCCAAUUAUGUGGCCAAACAUCCAGUGUCCCUCAGUGGUGGCAGGUGAGUGCAGCCCAGUAUUACAGACCAAUUACAGUGUAAUAUCACCCCCAAACCAGACGAACAUGCUAGCUGAUCAGUUUAGAAAUAAAUUAUGAAUAUAACACCAGUUUAACACCUGCAUAAUACCCCUGUCUGUCCUGUAUAACCAGACCUGCCCUGAUGAAUAUGUUCCUUUUGGAGGUGCACCCCUCCUUGAGUCUGGCCUCUGAGGUGUACCAGGCUCUGACCCAGUCCCAUGCUCGGCUCUGCCAGUUCCACUGUGCCAGGGGAAUGGCUGAGAGGGUUUCCCUGGAACAGAAGCUCCUAGAGCAGGCGCUACAACACUGGCACUCCCUGGCUCCCCCUGGGGCCUCCUACAGCUCUCAAACACAAAAGGAUGUGAGUCUACAGUAGCUCCCAGUCUCUGUCCCAUUUUCCUUAUGUGCCACUUGACAAGCUCUAUUUGAAAAAAAGUAUUUGUUAUUAAUUCUAUGUAAAUUAAGAUUAAAAUAGGGUAAAUAAAAGGCUUUAUAAAAUAAAUUUGUUCGAUUGAUUUUGCUCCAGUUGUUUUCAGAUCUGUUCAUGGAAGAUCCAUCCCUGGUCCGAGCAGCCGGCAUGUCUCUGAUCAGGUCUGCUGAGGAGCAGGACAUGAAGCUGGGGAAAGACAAACAGUUAUUUGUUGUGGAAACCUUCUCCAAGCUUUUGGAGAUAGUCACCAUCCAUCACCGCCUCGUGGAGACAGCUGCAGAGACUGAACAUCUGGCACAGUUUAGUUAAUUCUUCACUCUGAAAACACCGGUUGUAGUCAUUUACCUGCUCAUGAUGCUAAUAUCAUCGCGAUGCAAUGUAUUUGCAGGCUUUCAGUUAUGUGUUACCAAAUGUGUUCACAAUGCUAAACAUUACAGUGCUCUUACACUGUCAACAUUGCGGAGUGUAUCCUUCCUAGGCUGUACAAAGCACAGUCUCUAGAGCUGGGCUUCGACGAGUCCCACUUGUAUGUGCGUCCGGUGCAGUUUGGGUUUACUGUGCAGAGAGACGAGAUGGCGCAGCGGCCUACGUUUGUUACGGCGUUACUGCAGGACGACAGGUGGAUAGACAGGUAUGCUCUUCACCCUGUAACUAUCAAACGUCCACGUGUACAUGUGUCCUGUACCCCCUUUUCCUUUGUGGGUGAAGAGUGCUAUAUAAACAGCAGCAGUUCAUGUCCCCAUGUAACCUUUGUGGUUCCAUGCCCGUGUAGGUACACUCCGUCCAGCCUCCCACUAAGUGUCCACGAGCUUGAUGAGAACCACAUUGGAAAGUUCUGUUUCGGCACUGAAGAUGCGGUAGUGCAUGUAAGGAGAACGGAGACUUUGGGCCUGAUUCGGAGUUGAGAUAAGAGUGCACGUCAGGGACUUGAGGAAAUCAUUGUGCUGCGUUCAAUGUCGACACAGAAUCCUGCUCUUUGUAAAGCAAUAUUAUAGAAAUCGCCCAUUAUGAUUCACACUUGAACUUAUUAGGUCUCUCCUCAGUCCCUGUUCCUUCUCUACCUCUCCCCAGCUGAUGAGCAGGUCAGCCAUAGAGAACCUGCAGGUGAUCCUGGCCUGUCAGGUGACUCAGAAGAAUGCUCUGAUUGGUGCAGUGAAGCAGGUGUACCUCUGCAAUUGGUCAGAGACUUUCACGGGCUCUCCUGGGGUAGAGUACACUACACAUAUACGUUACUAAGCCUGUGGUUGUGUUUUUUGGGAUCAAAUGACCUCUCCUUUUAAUUUAGGAGGAUCUCAGUUCCAGCUGUGAUUUGAAUUCCUUAGUGAAGCUGGGUCCUGGAGUUACGAGUGAACCAAAGACAACCGGUAGCAGAACCAAGGGCAGGUGGGUUGGAGCGUCAGUGAUGGCUGGGUUGUGUGAUUAUUAAUAUUACUGAUGUUAAAUAUAAAUGUU